UACGUAGGGGGCAAGCGUUGUCCGGAUUUAUUGGGCGUAAAGAGCGUGUAGGCGGUUUGGUAGGUCCGCUGUGAAAACUCGAGGCUCAACCUCGAGACGCCGGUGGAAACCAUCAGACUAGAGUCCGGAAGAGGAGAGUGGAAUUCCUGGUGUAGCGGUGAAAUGCGCAGAUAUCAGGAAGAACACCCGUAGCGAAGGCGGCACUCUGGGCCGAUACUGACACUGAGACGCGAAAGCGUGGGGAGCGAACAGG
rnacentral:rRNA from 1 species